AUUUUCUUCUAUGGACAGAAUAAAGUUCAUAAGUAAAAAUGAAAACACUACAGCAGAGUUUUUGGCAUUUGGACACAAAAAUAAACGGGGGGUAGGAAAUACCUUCUAUUUCAGUGUAAACCUCAUCUGCACACUGCAUCGUACGUGUUGUUUUGCUGAAUAUGGUAGAUACAUGGCUUUUUCCCCGCUUAAGCCAUUCACCUUCUGUCAUCCAUACCCCCUCCCAAAGUGUCUUCAUGCCCCAGCUUGUGUUUCGUCCUCUUCUUCCUAGGGGUUAAAUUUAUGACAUUUAUGAUAAUUACCUGCAGGGUUGCAUUCAGAUUUGAAUAGGUUUCUGCACACUCUCUAAAGGUUCCUGCAGGGUAGGGUAAACUUACUCUCACAUACAGCUCUGUGAUGUUUUCACUGAUCUGUUUGGCGAUUCCAGGUUUAUUACCCUAAUUAUGCGCUAAUGAGCACACAGCUUUGCAAGGAAAUUUGCAUUACUUGCUUAAGUAGGACAGAUUAUCAGCUUAACCAAGAUAAAACAUCUCGUUGUUUGAGACCCUGGAAUUCACCAAAAGAGAUGCCUAGCAUGUAGAAGGAUGCUGACUGCGACCUUGAAAGCAAUAAGUCCACUGCAAUUUUAAGGCGUUUGCUCGGCAGGGUCCAAUCAUCUUCAGCAUCCCUUUCAAUUCCUGUUUUUGUUUUGUUUUAGCUACCUUUACAUCCAUCUCCUAAUACCAAGACAGAAGAAUGUCUCCUUACAACCACAACAGAAAUGCAGGAGCAAAUUUAACAUCAAGAAAAUAUAGCACAAGUGCAGACUUUUUACAUCAACUGUUAAGCUUGCUUCUCUCCACAAAGUGCAAAUUAUUACAUUUUAAUGUUUUUCCCUCUCGGAACCAGAAAAAUAUAGAGCUGGCCGUUUAUUUUCAUAUCUCUUUCCUUCAUAUUUUCACUUACAGAGAAACAACUUUGGAAUUUGUUGUGGCGUUAAAUAAUCAUCACUUUAAUAAAAAUAGACACUGAGCACACACAUCGACACUGAGGACAACAAAGUACCUCUCGUUGUAAAGAUAAAGGACUACAGGUAAGAAAUAGGGAACCUGGAGCUUUAAUAAGCAUGGAAGGAGAAGACAAUGCCCUCCUAAAACAAAGACUUUCAAUUCACUCACCAAAAAUCCAGAGCAAAACACCAACAACAAAUGCAGUAUACCUUCGGUCUGCCCUGGAGGAAAUGUCUCAAGAAGAGAGAGGGUCCUCAUGAAAACGAAGCAUCCAUAGCAUUGCUUAGAGGCUGACAUAGUGCCCAGCACCCUGUACUCCCCCAAAAAGAAAUUCCUUCACAAAUGCAAGUGGGUUUGCCCCUUUUUUAGGUACUACGGAACUAAAUGCAAUUAGACCAUUUGUCAUCAAGAAGAACAAGUACAUAAGAGCAGAAGAGAACAGACCUGCAGCUGGUGUGACCACAUUAGCAGGAGACUCAGAGAAGCCUUUAAGGUUGACUUGAGCAAGUUCCAAGGGCCAGCAACUGAAGGUGAACUCUGAUUCUUUCCUGGCUUCUUCGCAUUUUUUGGAAUUGAAAUGGAUUAAAUACCAUGAGUAAUUUGGAAGUUCUCUGGAGGCAAAUGAACAUCAGAGAUGCCUUGUUCCACCUGGGCUGCACAUGGGACUAGCGCUCACUCCUCCAGGUGGAUCCACAUUCACCCAACGUGUGUAAUAACAACAACCAGCUUUGCCCCAGGAGGCCAGCUCUGCGUGUUUCUCUCCAAGCAUGACCACUGCCUCUCCCACCCAACAUCCUGCUCUGGGCCUGGCACUGAGCUCAUAUGAUUGACCUGCAUUCUAACAACCAGGAAGCAUGAUGCCCAGAGGGUUCCCAGCCUGUCUGAUCCUGCCCCAAUGCUUGAAAUUGCCAACUGCAGUUAUGCAAUGAGCACAGCGGACAAGUCAGAUCAUGGGUCCUUCUCCUCAUUGUAGGGACGAGCAGAUGUCUCCUCCGCAGUGACAGCAGCACUGGGCGCCUUGUGCAGUGGAGGAGGAGGAAUGGUGCAGGCAAGUAAUUCUUACAAUAGGUUGAAAAUCGCCCCUAGGGAGCAUUUUGGAAAACGGAGGAGCUCUUUUGUCAUUGCUAUCACAUGAUGCUCUGAGGUCACACUUUGUACUUAAUGAGUAGCGCCCAGGGAUUCCAGGCAGCUAAAAUGAGUGGCCCGGUUCACUGAAAUGAAGUCGUAUCCUAAGCCAUGGACAGACAUAGAAACUAGUUUAAAGUUAUCUGAGCCUAGAACCUAACUCCUUCGGGCAUAAAAACAGAAAGUAAUUUUGCCCAGUUUACUAUGUACUAUAUUUUCCAUAGUGUACUGCGGCAUUAAUUGUAAGAAAACCAUACUUUGCUUCACUCACAAGUUUAUUGAGAUUUGGUCACUGUUUCAGAAUAUCCUCAGCAGAGCACUCGUGGAGUUUAAGUCCCCAGUUCAGCAUUCAUGACAGUCACAUGUAGGUACUUCUGCGUAUAGAUUUAACCAUCAGACCAAUCCAGUAUGUCUUUCCCUAUAGUUAUGACAAAACAUUCAUUUUCAUUGUGAAUUACAUAAAGAGCAAAUUACUUUUGCUUUUUCUCUUUUUAUUCCAACCGUAAUAAAUUGGAAUUAAUAUUGAUUUUUUGAAGUUAUGCAAGGAGAGUCAUAUUAUCUAUGAUUUUUCUUUCAGAAUAGUAAAAG